AGUGCCUGGGACAUAGGAGUGCUUAAAAAAAGAUGAGCGACGUUAAGAAUCCUUGAGAAAACCUAAUGGAAUGAUAUUACCAGUGACCAAAAGAACUGUUAAGCCUGUUGUGCAGUUACAUUGAGGAAAUGUCAGAGGAUUUAUGGUGACAUCGACAAAGAAAUUCAGAAAGAAAGAAAUACUGUAUUACUAGCCAAAAUGAAGAAGCAA
rnacentral:lncRNA from 1 species